rfam:Camponotus floridanus CamFlo_1.0_4.contig1193, whole genome shotgun sequence.
CAAACGGCCCUUUUCAGGGCCCUGUAAAUAUUGUAAAUAUACAUG